UUAGAGUUUGAUCAUGGCUCACGCUUAACGCUAGCGGCAGGCCUAAUACAUGCAAGUCGGACGGCUAUGUAGCAAUACAUGAUAGUGGCGGACGGGUGCGUAACACGUAUGGAACCUACCUGGGAGCGGGGGAUAACAGGGCGAAAGUUCAGCUAAUACCGCAUAAUGCAGCGGCUGCACAUGCAGACAGUUGUUAAAGACGCGAGUCACUUCCAGCGGGUCAUGCGUCCGAUUAGCUAGUUGGUGAGGUAACGGCUCACCAAGGCGACGAUCGGUAGCUGGUCUGAGAGGAUGAUCAGCCACACUGGCACUGAGACACGGGCCAGACUCCUACGGGAGGCAGCAGUAGGGAAUAUUGGGCAAUGGCGGAAACGCUGACCCAGCCAUGCCGCGUGCCGGAAGAAGGUCCAUUGGACUGUAAACGGCUUUUCUUUGGGGCUAACGUAUGGUUAGACCAUAUUUGAAAGUACUAAGGGAAUAAGCACCGGCUAACUACGUGCCAGCAGCCGCGGUAAUACGUAGGGUGCAAGCGUUGUCCGGAUUUACUGGGUUUAAAGGGUGCGUAGGCGGCGCGCUAAGUCUGAGAUGAAAUGGCAGGGCUCAACCCUGUCGCUGUCUUGGAUACUGGCGUGCUGGAGAAGGGAUGAGGUUGCUGGAAUGAGUGGUGUAGCGGUGAAAUGCGUAGAGAUCACUCAGAACACCGAUUGCGAAGGCAGGCAACUGGGCCCUAUCUGACGCUGAGGCACGAAAGCGUGGGGAUCAAACAGGAUUAGAUACCCUGGUAGUCCACGCCCUAAACGAUGGUUACUAGAUCUGACGCUGCGAGGUGUUGGGUCCAAGCGAAAGCGAUAAGUAACCCACCUGGGGAGUACGCUCGCAAGGGUGAAACUCAAAGGAAUUGACGGGGGCCCGCACAAGCGGUGGAGCAUGUGGUUUAAUUCGAUGGUACGCGAGGAACCUUACCUGGGCUAGAAUGUGCGUGAUGGAUUGAGAGAUCAAUUUUUCCCGCAAGGGACACAAAACAAGGUGCUGCAUGGCUGUCGUCAGCUCGUGCCGUGAGGUGUUGGGUUAAGUCCCGCAACGAGCGCAACCCCUGUGGAUAGUUGCCAGCGAGUCAAGUUGGGCACUCUAUUCAGACUGCCUUCGUAAGGAGUGAGGAAGGGGGGGACGACGUCAAGUCAUCAUGGCCCUUACGCCCAGGGCUACACACGUGCUACAAUGGACGGUACAGAGGGGAGCAAACCCGCGAGGGGGAGCCAAUCUCAAAAAGCCGUUCUCAGUUCGGAUUGGAGUCUGCAACCCGACUCCAUGAAGCUGGAAUCGCUAGUAAUCGCAGAUCAGCCAUGCUGCGGUGAAUACGUUCCCGGGCCUUGUACACACCG
rnacentral:rRNA from 1 species